UACAGAGGUCUCAAGCGUUGUUCGGAUUCAUUGGGCGUAAAGGGUGCGUAGGCGGCGCGGUAAGUCGGGUGUGAAAUCUCGGAGCUUAACUCCGAAACUGCAUUCGAUACUGCCGUGCUUGAGGACUGGAGAGGAGACUGGAAUUCACGGUGUAGCAGUGAAAUGCGUAGAUAUCGUGAGGAAGACCAGUGGCGAAGGCGGGUCUCUGGACAGUUCCUGACACUGAGGCACGAAGGCCAGGGGAGCAAAACGGG
rnacentral:rRNA from 1 species